rnacentral:sRNA from 1 species
UUGACUCUUCUGAAGACCAAAUAUGUUUUUAUAUCAGAAUAGGCACAGCAUGGAGAGCACUAGGGCCAGCUUCCCUGCUCCACCAUGGUGCCUCAACACUGGCCUGGAGGGACCAUCUCUAGAAAUGUGAAUGCAGUUGUUGGACUCUCUACUGAGAAUGUCAACAAGGCUGUC